AGCAGCCGCGGUAAUUCCAGCUCCAAUAGCGUAUAUUAAAGUUGUUGCAGUUAAAAAGCUCGUAGUUGAAUUUCGGGGUCAGCAAGUUGGUCGUGCCAACGGUAUGCACUGGCUUUACUGAUUCCUCCUUCUUGUAGAACUGUAAUGCCAUUAAUUUGGUGUUGCAGGGAAACAGGACUGUUACUUUGAAAAAUUAGAGUGUUUAAAGCAGGCUUACGCUUGAAUACAUUAGCAUGGAAUAAUGAAAUAGGACGUUGAUCCUAUUUUGUUGGUUUCUAGGAUUGACGUAAUGAUUAAUAGGGAUAGUUGGGGGCAUUAGUAUUCAAUUGUCAGAGGUGAAAUUCUUGGAUUUAUUGAAGACUAACUACUGCGAAAGCAUUUGCCAAGGAUGUUUUCAUUAAUCAAGAACGAAGUUAGGGGAUCGAAGACGAUCAGAUACCGUCGUAGUCUUAACCAUAAACC
rnacentral:rRNA from 1 species